GGUAAACUAGCAGCCACAACCUGAGGACACUCAAACAGCUUACAGAAAGAUGCACACGGGUAGGGACUAAGGCUUCCUGCCAAUAAUCAGGGAAGAAGUAAAGUCUCCUAAGAACAGCCCUAUGAGUGAGCCAUCUUCCUGCCCCAAACGAGCCUUCAGAUGACUACAGCCAGGCCAACGUCUUGUCUACAAUGUCAUCAUGACACACUGAGUCAGGAUAGCCCUGCUAACUGGCUCCUGAAUUUCUGGCCCACAAACCUGUGGGAGGGAAUAGGUAUGGAAGGAUAUACAAGAAUUUCAAACAUUUAUUGAUUGUGCAAACAAUGAUUGCCAGCCAGAUGACUCAGGAGUCAGUUAAGAGGGACUUUUAGAAAUCCUACUGAAAAUGACACGAUGGGAACGUGAGCAACGUUGAAGACAAAUUAUGGAGGAAUAAGAAUGCAAUCAGGAUCUAAACUGGAUUCUUAGGAGCAAAGGAGACUUGGGCAACUAAUUAAUGUCACCAACACUUGGUCAGGGAAGGCAAAACUCAGACUCCUAACAUCGGAACCCUGCUGUAGAGAUAAGGAAGAUGCUAAGCUGUGCAGCACGACCUAGCAAAGGAAGUUCUGUCAUGCCUUCAAGGAUUCAGUUUUUAUUUUUGUUUACAGGAGACUCACUAACACUACCAACUGCACAUCUUUUCCUCUGCCACCUUCAUAGUGGAUAUUUCUUGAUGGCUACCUUAUCAUUAGAAAAUAAGCUACAUUA